GAAAAAAGAAAAAAGACAAAAGUAAAGAAGUUGAAAAAAGUACAGAAGAAGAACUGCAAAGUUUAUUAACUAAAAUCUAUACAUUCGAAGAAGAGCGAGAAAAGGAAAAAAAGUCGAAAGAAAAAAAUCGAGAAUCAAGCGACGAAUCCACGAAAAGUAAAAAGAAAAAGAAAAAAUCUUCAUCUCGAGAAUAAAACUAGAUACUUGUAGAUGCAAUGCUGAUUUUUUUUUUAUUAGACGUGUAUUGACUUUUAAAUUUUUUGUUUAAAAUGAGUAAAUUCUUAAAAUAUA
rnacentral:lncRNA from 1 species